GAACGCUGGCGGCGUGCCUAAUACAUGCAAGUCGAGCGAACAGACGAGGAGCUUGCUCCUCUGACGUUAGCGGCGGACGGGUGAGUAACACGUGGAUAACCUACCUAUAAGACUGGGAUAACUUCGGGAAACCGGAGCUAAUACCGGAAAAUAUAUUGAACCGCAUGGUUCAAUAGUGAAAGACGGUUUUGCUGUCCCUUAUAGAUGGAUCCGCGCCGCAUUAGCUAGUUGGUAAGGUAACGGCUUACCAAGGCAACGAUGCGUAGCCGACCUGAGAGGGUGAUCGGCCACACUGGAACUGAGACACGGUCCAGACUCCUACGGGAGGCAGCAGUAGGGAAUCUUCCGCAAUGGGCGAAAGCCUGACGGAGCAACGCCGCGUGAGUGAUGAAGGUCUUCGGAUCGUAAAACUCUGUUAUUAGGGAAGAACAAAUGUGUAAGUAACUAUGCACGUCUUGACGGUACCUAAUCAGAAAGCCACGGCUAACUACGUG
rnacentral:rRNA from 1 species